GUGAACGCUGGCGGUAGGCCUAACACAUGCAAGUCGCACGGCAGCACAGUAAGAGCUUGCUCUUACGGGUGGCGAGUGGCGGACGGGUGAGGAAUACAUCGGAAUCUACUUUUUCGUGGGGGAUAACGUAGGGAAACUUACGCUAAUACCGCAUACGACCUACGGGUGAAAGCAGGGGAUCUUCGGACCUUGCGCGAUUGAAUGAGCCGAUGUCGGAUUAGCUGGUUGGCGGGGUAAAGGCCCACCAAGGCGACGAUCCGUAGCUGGUCUGAGAGGAUGAUCAGCCACACUGGAACUGAGACACGGUCCAGACUCCUACGGGAGGCAGCAGUGGGGAAUAUUGGACAAUGGGCGCAAGCCUGAUCCAGCCAUACCGCGUGGGUGAAGAAGGCCUUCGGGUUGUAAAGCCCUUUUGUUGGGAAAGAAAAGCAGCAGGUUAAUACCCCGCUGCUCUGACGGUACCCAAAGAAUAAGCACCGGCUAACUUCGUG
rnacentral:rRNA from 1 species